rnacentral:lncRNA from 1 species
CUGAACCUUCCUUUCAUCUCUGCAAUCUCAUUCAGUCCCUCAGCAUUGUGGGGAUGCAGGCAAACCACUAUAAAUAACUGAGCCUUUGCCUGUCAGCUGGUACAAAUACCAGCCACUUCAAACAAUCUGACCUUUCUUGGGGAUUCUGACCAAACUGCAGUGGAAGACAGCUAAUAUCUUCCAGGAUUUUCCAUGAUUAAGGUACAGACACAUUUCCUGGUCCACAGUUAGUGGAGAGAUGCUCAAGAGCACAAAUCCUCAUUCUGUAGGAUCAAUAUGUCUGGUCUGAGCCUACAGGAUGGAUUUCCUAUCAUUUCCUUAUAUCAACUCUUAAGCUGCCCACAGCACAUCUUCUUUGAUUGAGUGAAAUGUCAUUAAGAUGGGAACAGGAUCCAGCUAUCAGUGUACGGGGUUGCUUUGAUGAAUUUUCCAAGCACAUGGGCAGAUACUCUCCUACAGAGAAACAGC